UUUUAUCCAUUUAUGCUCAUUUAUUGUCAUUUCAAGCUCCCAGCUCCCUCACUAUGUAACACCAUGGUUUUUCCAACUUUUGAUUCCUCCCAGAGCUGAUCUGCUCUGAGGAGGUCAGGGCAGCUUCCUCAGAAGACCAGAAUGCUGCAGAGGAAGAAGGCAAUAGGAGUUAAGAAAGGGGUAGCAGAUGCUCGAGCUGGAGCAGGCUCUAUGUGUUUUCUGUUGCCACUGCCUCUAGUUUGGGCAGCAAAACAGCUUUGGCCAUAAGCAGAACAGUGAAAACACAAAGUCUCUCCCCAGUGCCAGGGUUGUUGUUUCUCCCUGUGCAGCAUGUGUGUGGUUUCUUAUUAUAUUUUUGGCAUGUUUGGUUGUAAAAGCCAUUGGAAACAGAAUAUUUUUCUUCUGAAAGUCACAUAGGGCUUUGCUGUAUUGAGUCACCAUCAAACAAGAGAACUUCUCCUUUCCUUGGUUUGGUCACUCAUUUGCUGAGUGCCAGUUUUCCAGAAAGGAAACCUCAGCUUCCACUCUGAAACUAAAAUGCCUCCAAAAAACACACUAUUUCUAGCGGCCAACAAAAUGUCAUGAGGCUUGCAGCUCCCCUUGCUUCAGAGCAGCUGAAGUGCAUGUACAACAGAGGGGACCUGUUGGCUUUUAUGCUUUCAGGUUUGCCCUGGCCUUCAGAGCCCUUUUGAACCUGCUGUUCUCAGAGUAAGAAAGGGAGAGGAAGUCUCAGAGAAGUUGUCCCACCAUAAUUGGUAUUUGUUCUUAUAAAAAAGGAAGGGGUUAACUUUUCUCCCCUUCCCCCAAGCCAUCUAGAAAGAACUAGGGCUGGGGGAGUCAUCUAGAGAGCAGAAGGACGAAGUCUACUGAAGGCAAAACUGGAAAUGCAUGAGAAAACAAUGAAGAGCAUAAAUGAAUAUUUGGCUAGCUAUGGUGCAGAAGAGUUUAGGUCUGUUGAAAGCUUGAGGGCUGUGAUGACAGAAAGGAUUGGAGUUGACACAGUUGCCUGAUACAUUAAGGAUUCACUGGGACAAAACAAACCCUGAAAUGAUAGACUUUGUUCUCCUUUGAAGCUGACCUCAGUGAUAAAGAUCAGGGUGAUGUCUGUGAGUCACGAGUAGGUGCCUGACAGAGACCACGGGAGUGUGAGUCAUACUGAGUAGGACCAUAUUUGUCCAGAAGUGCACAAUAAGACCUACUGAUAGGACCUAUUCAAAAAGCAGAACGCAAUUUGCUUAGGCAAUGAUAUACAUUCAUUGGUCCCAGCUUUGUACAAACUCCCAACUUCUUCAAAGUAUUUAGCUAGAAAUAGUUGCAACAAAAAGCCCAAAAGCUUAACAUUAAAGCUUACCAAUAUUCUCAAAUAUUGCAGAAUUAUCUGGUGGUACUGUCCUAAAACAAGUCAGUAGGGUCUUGGGAUUUUCUUAGUUCCCAAGUUUUCAAUAUUAAAUGCUUUCAGAGAGUUUGACUUGUCAAACUGGGCUGGGCAUUCCUACGCUGUCAUUCCCUGCCCCCCCCUCGCUCCCCCAGCCCCAAGAUAGCUCAAGCUGGACAUCUGAUAUGCUGCAAGCCGGUUAUUAAAAAUGUUUACCAAUCAUUAGGUCUUCAAGAGGGAAUUAUUUUAACUAAAUAGCAGAAAUGCAAGAAAAGCAAUAGGCAAUCUUGCUGCAAGUGCUGACUAGGAAUAACCAUUCAAAAACAAGGAGUCUUCUGCAAACAGCAAUGCUUCAAUAAGUGAUGGACUGCAUGGCCUAAUUUAAAACCAGAUUGAGUAAACAUGCAUUUUUCACUGGCUAAUGGGAUAAAGGGAAGUUAACCAGGAGCUUCAUUAGUUUGUACUAAUAAUAAGAUAAAU
rnacentral:lncRNA from 1 species